UACGUAGGAUGCAAGCGUUGUCCGGAAUUAUUGGGCGUAAAGAGCGCGCAGGCGGUCUAUCAAGUCAGAUGUGAAAUAUCCCGGCUUAACCGGGAGGGGUCAUUUGAAACUGGUAGACUAGAGUACAGCAGAGGAUAGUGGAAUUCCCGGUGUAGUGGUGAAAUGCGUAGAUAUCGGGAGGAACACCAGUGGCGAAGGCGGCUAUCUGGGCUGAAACUGACGCUGAGGCGCGAAGGCUAGGGGAGCAAACAGG
rnacentral:rRNA from 1 species